UACGUAGGUGGCAAGCGUUGUCCGGAUUUAUUGGGCGUAAAGCGCGCGCAGGCGGUCCUUUAAGUCUGAUGUGAAAUCUUGCGGCUCAACCGCAAGCGGUCAUUUGGAAACUGGGGGACUUGAGUACAGAAGAGGAAAGCGGAAUUCCACGUGUAGCGGUGAAAUGCGUAGAGAUGUGGAGGAACACCAGUGGCGAAGGCGGCUUUCUGGUCUGUAACUGACGCUGAGGCGCGAAAGCGUGGGGAGCAAACAGG
rnacentral:rRNA from 1 species